rnacentral:tRNA from 1 species
AGCUCAACUGAAUAGAGCACUUGACUACGGAUCAAGAGGUUGCAGGUUUGAAUCCUGCA